CCCCAUAAAGAAAUAUCAUGCUCCACGGUCAUAUUGUCUAUAAAUUCAAUUGCUUCUUCAAGUUUACCUGAACGACCAUAUAAAUUAACCAUAGCCACACAAUGUUCUAGACCUGGUACAGUCCGAUACUCUUCGGACAUGCUAGAGAACAUACUCUUCCCCUCAUCAACCAUUUUGGCUAGACCAUAAGAUGAAAUUACACUCGACAAAGUACCCCUGUUUGGUAGACAUGCUAGAGAACAUAUUCUUCCCCUCAUCAACCAUUUUGGCUAGACCAUAAGAUGAAAUUACACUCGACAAAGUACCCCUGUUUGGUUUAAGCCCUGCCUCUUUCAUUUGAUGAAAUA
rnacentral:lncRNA from 1 species